rnacentral:tRNA from 7 species
AAGGAAGUGGCAGAGUGGUUAUGUGGCUGGCUUGAAACCAGUUUAUGGGGGUUCAAUUCCUCCCUUCCUCG